CGGUCCGACGGUGGAACCCACUCGGGGGCCGCGGGGCAGGAGGGCGAAUGGCUUCCACGCUCGGGGCUCAGGGGCUGGAGGAGAGGAAGCCUGAGGAGGAGGAGGAGGAAGGCCGGCGCAGGGUGACUGAUGCUGACCCAAGCCCCAGGAAGCCUCCGCUCUCCCUAGGGCGGGAAAGCAGCUUUGGGGGGUGUCAGGCCACACCCCUGUGAUGGAAACCCGUGUGGGGGGCCCCGACGCUGGGAUCAGGGAGCCCAAAGUGGCCAAGGUGUCGGGGCUCGCAGGGUUUGCUAGGGUCGGCAAGGCUGGAGGGGGCGGGGGGGAGUUUGCUGGGAGGGAGAGGAAAAAACUGCUCUCUAAACUCAGGCAGCAAAGUCCUGGCGCGCAAAUGGCUUUUCACUUCUCGAAGCUCGAGGCUCGCUACUGUGAACAAACCUUGAGGUUCGAAACAGCUGCAAAUAAUCAACUCCUGAGGCAGCUGCCGUCUGCAGACCUCCUGCACCGCCCAGGGAAGUGA
rnacentral:lncRNA from 1 species